rnacentral:rRNA from 1 species
UAAGGAAUAUUGGUCAAUGGACGCGAGUCUGAACCAGCCAUGCCGCGUGAAGGAUUAAGGCCCUCUGGGUUGUAAACUUCUUUUAUAGGGGAAGAAAUGUGACGGUUCUCCGUCACUUGACGGUACCCUGGGAAUAAGCACCGGCUAACUACGUGCCAGCAGCCGCGGUAAUACGUAGGGGGCAAGCGUUGUCCGGAUUUACUGGGUGUAAAGGGUGCUCAGGCGGAUUUGUAAGUCAGAGGUGAAAUCUUACAGCUUAACUGUGAAACUGCCUUUGAUACUGCAAGCCUAGAGUAUGGAAGAGAGUGAUGGAAUAUCUGGUGUAGCAGUGAAAUGCGUAGAUAUCAGAUAGAACACCAAUGGCGAAGGCAGUCACUUGGGCCGUUACUGACGCUAAAGCACGAAAGCGUGGGUAGCAAACA